GAUGAACGCUAGCUACAGGCUUAACACAUGCAAGUCGAGGGGCAUCACAGUGUAGCAAUACACGGGUGGCGACCGGCGCACGGGUGCGUAACACGUAUCCAAUCUGCCCGUUACUCGGGGGAUAGCCUUCUGAAAGGAAGAUUAAUACCCGAUGGCAUGUAUUUCCGGCAUCGGAGAUACAUUAAAGAUUUAUCGGUAACGGAUGAGGAUGCGUACGAUUAGCUGGUUGGCGGGGUAACGGCCCACCAAGGCUACGAUCGUUAGGGUUCUGAGAGGAAGGUCCCCCACACUGGAACUGAGACACGGUCCAGACUCCUACGGGAGGCAGCAGUGAGGAAUAUUGCGCAAUGGGGGGCAACCCGUGACGCAGCAACGCCGCGUGAAGGAUGAAGGUCUUGGAUUGUAAACUUUUGUCUUUAGGGACG
rnacentral:rRNA from 1 species